AUUGAACGCUGGCGGCAGGCCUAACACAUGCAAGUCGAGCGGAUGAGAGGAGCUUGCUCCUUGAUUUAGCGGCGGACGGGUGAGUAAUGCCUAGGAAUCUGCCUAGUGGUGGGGGAUAACGUUCCGAAAGGAACGCUAAUACCGCAUACGUCCUACGGGAGCAAGCGGGGGAUCCUCGGACCUCGCGCCAUUAGAUGAGCCUAGGUCGGAUUAGCUAGUUGGUGAGGUAAAGGCUCACCAAGGCGACGAUCCGUAAAUGGUCUGAGAGGAUGAUCAGUCACACUAGAACUGAGGCACGGUCCAGACUCCUACGGGAGGCAACAGUGGGGAAUAUUGGACAAGGGGCGAUAGCCUUAUCCAGCCAUGCCGCGUGUGUGAAGAAGGUCUUCGGAUUGUAAAGCACUUUAAGUUGGGAGGAAGGAUAUUCACCUAAUACGUGAGUAUUUUGACGUUACCGACAGAAUAAGCACCGGCUAACUUCGUGCCAGCCGCCGCCGUAACAC
rnacentral:rRNA from 1 species